rnacentral:rRNA from 1 species
GGGUACGAGAGGGCCGCUACCACGCGAGUGGAUGCCAAUCCCUAAAACCCCUCUCAGUUCGGACUGGAGUCUGCAACCCGACUCCACGAAGCUGGAUUCGCUAGUAAUCGCGCAUCAGCCACGGCGCGGUGAAUACGUUCCCGGGCCUUGUACACACCGCCCGUCAAGCCAUGGGAGCCGGGGGUACCUGAAGUGCGUAACCGCGAGGAUCGCCCUAGGGUAAAACUGGUGACUGGGGCUAAGUCGUAACAAGGUAGC